CGGGGAGUAGCUCAGUUGGUAGAGUGCGUGGUUUGGGACCAUGAGGCCGCAGGUUCGAGCCCUGUCUCCCCGACCA
rnacentral:tRNA from 1 species